rnacentral:lncRNA from 1 species
GUUUUUUUGAAAAAUUUUGGACGCUCUCUCUGUCGUCUCUCUCAAUUGGCGGAAAGCAGGCCAGCGAUCUUGGUGCUCCGGCCACGGCCAGCAGUGAGAGCGGUCGGAAAAGGAUCGGCCAGGGCCGACGAUCAAGUCUGGGCUAAAGCCCAGCCACAUCAGCCGCUCACGACGCCGCUAAAAGCUCAGAAAGGUCUGUGGAUUUCGAGUUUUCCGACGUCGUUUUCGGCGACUCCGGCUGUUGUUUCCGUCGAUCGAGGUAUGAAACUUCAUCUACUUUUCAUACUCUAGCUGUUUAUGUAUGUGGUUAGGAUAGAUUUUGGAGUUUUGGAAAUUAAUCAAUACACCCUAGUUUGACCGACGGCUUUGGCAGUGUUCCGAAUUGCUCCGGCCACUUUUUGGCCGAGGUCCAAGACCAAAAUUUACUCCCCUUGUUAGUAUGAAUAUGUUGGUAUAGGUAUUGUAGGGACUUUUGGGAAUUUUUAGAGAUAAGUUAUCAUUUGACUUUGACGGUAUGCUUGGUAUUCGGGGUUGUUGGAAUGCUAGUAGCAUCUGUUUUUUGAAAUAAUGUUAAUAUGAGAACUUCAAGCGAGACAAUAUGAGAGGAAGCAAAUUUAACAGUAGCUGUUGGCUUGUGCAAUUGAGGUGCAAAGUAAACUUUUUUCUUAAAUUCUUUUAGGCUUAAGAAUAUCAUAGGGAGACAGAGAGAGCGAUAGCUUGUACAGAAAAUUGGACCACUUUCUGAGCAUUUUUAUUUUAUGCUCAAGAUUCUUUGCAGUUGAUAACAAUUGUUUUCUCUUUCUCAGUCUCCAAUCUUCUUCUUUUUUUUCCUUUUUUUUUCUUCAAAUAAUGGAAUGCAAAAUUGGAGUAUUGAUUGAAUGGUUUCUGUUCUGAUAAUGGAAUGCAAAAUUCUCUUUUCAAAUUUUGUUUGUCUCUCACUGUGCUCGGUUUUCUAGCCAGCAAUAUCCAUUUGCUUUUGUGUCACAUCAAAUUUACUAAUCUUAAUUAGUAACCAUAUCCAUGGAAACUGCAAAGGGGUUUGGUCAGUAUAAAGUUUGUUGCCAUUAGUUAGCAAGGAAGAAGACAUUUAAUAUUUUUUACCAGUGGCAAAAAAUGAAAAGAAAAUCAAGGCAUUGGCUGCUGCAACUCAUACUGUUUGUUUCUGUCAUGGCAAUUUUGGCAGCAACUUGUUGCCAAACCAGUUCACCUACAUCACUUGUUCUUUCAAUUUCAGUUGUAUUUCAAGGUUGCUACUUUACGAACAUGGGGUUUUUGCUCUGGGUUCCUAGGUUUGUUCAAAAGGUUGUGUUUUCCGUUAUGUUUUUCAAGGUUGUUGGUUUAUGAACAUGGGGUUUUUGUAGUUGUACAUUUUUAUCGUAACUAUUAUGCAAAUGAAAUAUAGUUGUUAGCUUCCAGUAAGUGGUAUGAAUAGUUGUUAAACUGUUCAUACCCUGCAAUUGAGUUGAUUUCUAUGACAUAGUAUUAACAGUGUACUUCCAUGACAUAGUAUUAACAGAUUUUUCAGUAACAAAGCAUGCGCUAUUUUUUGCUCAUAUAGUUGUGCACUUAAAGUUUAUGAUAUGCAUAAUGUGAUUUUCACUAGGAAGGUAGUUCUAUGACACAGUAUUAACAGUGUACUUUUUUUUUUUCUUCUUGUAGAGGGCCUUUGCGAUUGCUUCUGGUAAAACUAUGGACAAUGUGAUUUUAUGAUAUGCAAAAAUGUGAUUUUUCCUAGGAAAAUAGUUCUAUGACAUAGUAUUAACAAUGUACUUCUGUGACAUAGUAUUAACAGUGUACUUUUUUUUUCUUCUUAUAAAGGUAUUUCCUUGUGCCUUUGCAAUUGUAUCUGGUGAAACUAUGGACAAUUGGAGGUGGCAGCAAAGGAUAUCGAAUCUCUUGUUAGGGUUUUUUGGAUUUUUUGUAUGAAAUAGUAUUUACAAUGUUUUUCUAUGAAAUUGUAUUAAGAAUGUUUUUCUAUGAAAUUGUAUUAACAAUAUAGCAUGGUAUUAACAAUGCACUUUUAUGACAUGAUAUUAACAAUGUACUUUCA